AACCGUACGCUUACAAGCGGUCGGAGCUCCGUUUUACGGAGUGACGGCGUGCCUUUUGCAUAAUGAUCCUACGAGUUACUCCUCACUAGCGAGGUUAAGUCCUUCAGGGACGCAGCCGAAGCGAAAGCAAGUCUGAAUAGGGCGUUUAGUUAGUGGGGGUAGACGCGAAACCCGGUGAUCUACCCAUGGCCAGGUUGAAGCUCUGGUAACACAGAGUGGAGGACCGAACCAGUU
rnacentral:rRNA from 1 species